GAUGAACGCUAGCUACAGGCUUAACACAUGCAAGUCGAGGGGUAGCAGGGUAGCAAUACCGCUGACGACCGGCGCACGGGUGAGUAACACGUAUCCAACCUUCCCAUAACUCGGGGAUAGCCUUUCGAAAGAAAGAUUAAUACCCGAUAGUACUUAACAAAGGCAUCUUUGAUAAGUUAAAGAUUUAUUGGUUAUGGAUGGGGAUGCGUUCCAUUAGAUAGUUGGUGAGGUAACGGCCCACCAAGUCUUCGAUGGAUAGGGGUUCUGAGAGGAAGGUCCCCCACAUUGGUACUGAGACACGGACCAAACUCCUACGGGAGGCAGCAGUGAGGAAUAUUGGUCAAUGGGCGAGAGCCUGAACCAGCCAAGUAGCGUGAAGGAUGAAGGUCCUAUGGAUUGUAAACUUCUUUUAUAGUAGAAUAAAGUGAUCCACGUGUGGAUUUUUGUAUGUAUACUAUGAAUAAGGAUCGGCUAACUCCGUGCCAGCAGCCGCCGUAA
rnacentral:rRNA from 1 species